UCGGACAUGGUGUAUGGUACACGGCCUCCCAACAUGUCAAUAUCGAUGCCAAGGUUGUUGGAGGCAGACCGGGGUUCGACUCCCCGUGUCCGAA